GCUGUGAAGCACCUGCGUUGCUCAUGUAACACAAGUCAACCUGCUGGAAAGGCCGCGAACCAGACUAGCAAUAAAAAACCGCCAAAUUCGGCGGUUUUUU
rnacentral:sRNA from 1 species